GAUGAACGCUGGCGGCGCGCCUAACACAUGCAAGUCGAACGAUUAAAGCACCUUCGGGUGUGUAUAAAGUGGCGAACGGCUGAGUAACACGUGGGCAACCUGCCCCUUUCAUUGGGAUAGCCACGGGAAACCGCGGAUAAUACCGAAUACUUCGAGACUUCCGCAUGGAAGACUCGAGAAAGCUCCGGCGGAGAGGGAUGGGCCCGCGGCCUGUUAGCUUGUUGGUGGGGUAACGGCCUACCAAGGCAAUGAUGGGUAGCUGGGUUGAGAGACCGACCAGCCAGAUUGGGACUGAGACACGGCCCAGACUCCUACGGGAGGCAGCAGUGGGGAAUCUUGCACAAUGGGCGAAAGCCUGAUGCAGCGACGCCGCGUGCGGGAUGAAGGCCUUCGGGUUGUAAACCGCUUUCAGCAGGGACGAGGCGAAAGUGACGGUACCUGCAGAAGAAGCCCCGGCUAACUACGUG
rnacentral:rRNA from 1 species